rnacentral:sRNA from 1 species
GUAUCAGCCACCACGAUGCUGACUCUCUGGGUCCUGGCUGUCAUGUUGGCGGUCCAGGAAGAAGCACUUGGCCAGCUGGAGCUUGCAGAUAGGCCUUCCCUAAUACCCACUUUGCCUGUCUGUUUUCCACCUGGAUUGCUCCCUGGAAGUCUGUCAGCCUCAAAAGUCCCUCUACCCAGAAAAUACCCAGCGAGGACCAAAGGAGGCAGGUGUCCACCCAUCACCAAGUACUUCAUAUCUGGCAGCAAACUCAAAGACGAUAUGAAUGCCACCUUGCCCCCGCAGAUUGAGAAGAUUCUGAAGUGUGAGAAGGUUAACUUGGCUGGUUUGCUUGGAACCAUAUUAUCCACAGUGAGCGACUUGGACCUGCUAUCUCUAUUAGACCUCACUUCACCCCUUGAUAUACUUGGAGGUGCCAGCCUCAGUGGUAUCCUAGGUGAGGGAAAUGGCGGCAAGUCCUCGAACCUUCCAUUGCUCUCAGAACUCACUGGUGCUGUCAGUGGUCUGCUACCCCAGGGGACGGAGGGUCUGGUGAGCCUACUACCCACUGGUUCAGACAAGAACCUUGUAAAAGGACUCUUCGGUGGCACUGGUCUCUCCACUCUCCAGCAGCCUCUGAAGGAUGUGACCGACAAAGUCCAAGACCUCAAAGAGUCUGCUCGGGGCGUGCUGCCCUCAGGCAUCAGCAACGCACUCCCAGACCUGCUGAAAAAUGCUGACCUGGAACAGCUCUUGCUAUUACAGGUUGAAAAAGUAACUGUGGAGAGCAUGAAGUCAACCAUGACAGGCGAUGGGAUCCAUGUCCAAGCCACGACUACGGCCUUCAUAGGUGGAAAAGGGCUAAAGCCCACUUUAACAAAAAUACAGUCACUGUGCCUGGAAGUUCUCUCUCUUCAGAUACUAAAAAUGUCAGCGUUUCCCUAAUUCUGUCCUACACGAUGCUGAAGGUCAUCAUCACUCACACUGCCAAGCAGAGCUCUGUGCAGAGAAAUAACCUGGAUGCAAGAAUCACCAAACUAACCUACUCCCAGCGGCCAGACAAUAAAAUCCAAGCCAGCUACUGGGUUAACAUCACCAAGGACGGUGGGAGCUUUGUCACCGGGCAAACGGACUUAAUCAUCUCAUUCAUCAGCAAGAUUUCGAAAGACAAACUGAUCACAGACAUCGAAC